rnacentral:rRNA from 1 species
GCUUUAAGCUCCUUGAAGGGUCGUUCGAGACCAGGACGUUGAUAGGCUGGGUGUGGAAGCGCAGUAAUGCGUUAAGCUAACCAGUACUAAUUGCCCGUAAGGCUUGUCCC